rnacentral:rRNA from 1 species
GAUAAGGUUAAGUGAAUAAGGGCGCACGGUGGAUGCCUUGGCACUAGGAGCCGAUGAAGGACGGGACUAACACCGAUAUGCUUUGGGGAGCUGUACGUAAGCUAUGAUCCAGAGAUUUCCGAAUGGGGGAACCCAGCAUCUUUAAUAGGAUGUUACGAUUGUGUGAAUACAUAGCACAUUCGAGGUAGACGCAGAGAACUGAAACAUCUAAGUACC